UUAUACCUUUUUUGGGCUUGAGUUCUCUCAUCUUGGUCGAUUGUCUGUGCACAUUGGUGAAUAUUUACAUUUACAAUGUUACAAUUUCCCUAAUCCUCCAGGAUUUAACCGAUGCAUCUGAUGGAAUUCAUUCCAUUCUUUCCCCGAAGAUGUGUGCAUUAUGUCUUUAAAAGCUAAACUGAUACAUAUUACUGUUUUUUGUUAUACAUUGUGUAUUUGUGAAAGCUUUAUGAUCUGAAAACUGAAAAUUUUGCUGCCCACACAGCAAGAGGAUACAACAGCGGCUGGCUUUGUAUCAAGGGGUGUGUCCCAUAUAUAUGGAAUUUUCUGACGAUGCGGAGGAGACUUUUGCUAGAGCGCUAGGCUUGCUCCAGAAGCAAGGAAUGGUAAAGGAAGGAGAAGAAGUGGCCCUUGUACAGAGUGGCAGACAACCCAUAUGGAGGUCCCAGUCCACUCACAACAUCCAGGUCCGCCAAGUGUAAACAGCAACAAGAGAUGGGUUACAACCACUGGUUAAGUUUUGAGCUCAUAAAACAGGAUAAUCUAGUCUAGAGUAGCAUUACGUUACCUCUUUGCCUCUUGGUGGUUUGAUGUCACAAUUGCUUUGCUUGCUUGGUUUAGAUUGUUUCUGUUUCAAUUGUUUUAUUACAUGAUAUUGUAUUUGUUCUCUUAUGAUUUAAAAUUACUAUAUAGGUUGUAUGUGGGACUGAAUUUUGUUAGAGACUGGAAAGAGCAGUUUCUUCCUUGGUUGACGGACUCGGGAUCGAAUUGUUAUAUUCUGUUGUAUUUUUUCAGAACUUGAUCACUGUAAGAAAGCAAUCAAUAAUACUGAAUGGAUGUGAUGAAUUUAGAGAGCGGUGGAUUUUAUUUA